rnacentral:rRNA from 1 species
GACGAACGCUGGCGGCGUGCUUAACACAUGCAAGUAGAACGGAAAGGCCCUGCUUUUGUGGGGUGCUCGAGUGGCGAACGCGUGAGUAACACGUGAGUAACCUGCCCUUGACUUUGGGAUAACUUCAGGAAACUGGGGCUAAUACCGGAUAGGAGCUCCUGCUGCAUGGUGGGGGUUGGAAAGUUUCGGCGGUUGGGGAUGGACGCGCGGCUUAUCAGCUUGUUGGUGGGGUAGUGGCUUACCAAGGCUUUGACGGGUAGCCGGCCUGGGAGGGUGACCGGCCACAUUGGGACUGAGGUACGGCCCAGACUCCUACGGGAGGCAGCAGUGGGGAAUAUUGCACAAUGGGCGGAAGCCUGAUGCAGCAACGCCGCGUGCGGGAUGACGGCCUUCGGGUUGGAAACCGCUUUCGCCUGUGACGAAGCGUGAGUGACGGUAAUGGGUAAAGAAGCACCGGCUAACUACGUG